GGUGAACGCUGGCGGCGUGCCUAAUACAUGCAAGUCGAGCGAACUGAUUAGAAGCUUGCUUCUAUGACGUUAGCGGCGGACGGGUGAGUAACACGUGGGCAACCUGCCUGUAAGACUGGGAUAACUUCGGGAAACCGAAGCUAAUACCGGAUAGGAUCAUCUCCUUCAUGGGAGAUGAUUGAAAGAUGGUUUCGGCUAUCACUUACAGAUGGGCCCGCGGUGCAUUAGCUAGUUGGUGAGGUAACGGCUCACCAAGGCAACGAUGCAUAGCCGACCUGGGAGGGUGAUCGGCCACACUGGGACUGAGACACGGCCCAGACUCCUACGGGAGGCAGCAGUAGGGAAUCUUCCGCAAUGGACGAAAGUCUGACGGAGCAACGCCGCGUGAGUGAUGAAGGCUUUCGGGUCGUAAAACUCUGUUGUUAGGGAAGAACAAGUACAAGAGUAACUGCUUGUACCUUGACGGUACCUAACCAGAAAGCCACGGCUAACUACGUGCCAGCCGCCGCGGUAAAAC
rnacentral:rRNA from 1 species